UACGUAGGGUGCAGGCGUUAAUCGGAAUUACUGGGCGUAAAGCGUGCGCAGGCGGUUUGCUAAGACAGGUGUGAAAUCCCCGGGCUUAACCUGGGAACUGCGCUUGUUACUGGCAGGCUUGAGUGUGGCAGAGGGGGGGUGGAAUUCCACGUGUAGCAGUGAAAUGCGUAGAGAUGUGGAGGAACACCGAUGGCGAAGGCAGCCCCCUGGGUCAACACUGACGCUCAUGCACGAAAGCGUGGGGAGCAAACAGG
rnacentral:rRNA from 1 species